GAGGAGGAAAAGAAGGGGAAGAAGAAAAGAGAAGGAGAGGAGGGGAAGAGGGAAAAAAUACUCCAUCAAAAUAUUAAGGCCAUCCUGUUUGACAGCGGGAGAGGCUGCCUGGAGGCCUGGAGGAGUCCCCUUCCCUGGAGGCUUUUUAAAGCAGAGUCUGGAUGGCCAUCUGAAGGGAGUGCUUUGAUUUUGCGUCCCUGAAUAGCAGAGUGGGUUAGGCUUGUUUCUCUAAGGGAGAGGCAAAGAUGGAGAGGCCUCCCAAGGUCUCUCCUCAGCAGCGCUUGCGUCAUCGCCUCAGUGAAUCCUCAUGGAAACCAAGCGAGGCUCCGCCCUCUCCCAGGCCUUGGUCGCGCCUAGCCUCGCGGGAAUUGUAGUUCAAAUUUCCUUCGGCCCCCUUGAGAAACAAUAGCAGCGGGACUCCAACUCCCAGGGUGCCCCGCGCCUCAUUCGGCUCCUUCUCGGCCCCCCCUCCCGUCGCGCUUUCCUCCUUUCAGCUGCUUGGGAAUCUCUGUGAGGAGAAGCGUCUUGUUUGCUUGUGUGGAAUGAAAGCGGUUUGAUACCGCUUUUAAGCUCCACGGUUCAUUGCUAGGGAACUCUGGGGGUUGCCCCACCAAACUACAAAUCCCAGGAUUAUAUAGCACUGAGCCAAGCUCUAGAUUUCAAAGAUGAAAAAAACAUGUGGCCAGGCAACUUCAGAGUAUGAACAACACAGGGAAAAUGGACUAUGGUAAGUAUCCUAAAAUGAAAUCUUAAUAAUAUUUUAUUUUUAUCCGGCCCUAUCUCCUCAGGGGACUCAGGGUGGUGAGAAAUAUGAGCGUAUGCAGAAUCUUGUGAGGUUCUUGACUACGCUACAUAUAUUCGAUUUAUUUGGCUGCAUACAGUGCUGGGAGCAUUGGAGUUCUUUUUAGUUUCUCUAUUUGCAUCUCUCCUCUAGUGCUGUGGUUUUUAACCUUGAAUAUGCUUUGAAUUUCUAAUGGUUUUAAACUGAUUUUUAAAAAUACUAUUUAUUUUUAAUUCUGUUUCAGUGUUUGCAUAUUUGUAUAUUUUAAAUUGUGUGCUAAUACUUUAUGUUCAGCCGCUUUGAGCCUCCUUCAGGAGAGCUAAUAAAGGGUAGAAAUGAAUAUUUUUUAUCUUUUCAUUUUAUUUACUACAUUUAUACCCCACUCGUAUCUCAACCUAAAGCGGAUUAAGAGCGUCUUCCAAAUUGGCAACAAUUACAUGCCAUACAAACAAACAUACAAAUACAAUAAACACAUACCUUAAAAUCCAUAGAAAUUAAAAAAUCAACAUCAAUACAUUAAA